rnacentral:rRNA from 1 species
GUAAAAGACAAUGGAGGACCGAAGCCACAUCCGUUGAAAAGGGUGGGCAUGAGGUGUGGAUAGGGGAGAAAUUCCAAUCGAACCCGGAGAUAGCUGGUUCUCCUCGAAAUAGCUUUAGGGCUAGCCUCAUGGAUAAUAUAUGGAGGUAGAGCACUGAAUGGGCGCGGGGGCCUCAAAGCCUACCAAACUCUAUCAAACUUCGAAUGCCAUUAUAUGCAAACCAUGGGAGUCAGUCCGCGAGAGAUAAGUUCCGCGGGCAAAAGGGGAACACCCCAGAUCAACCGCUAAGGUCCCAAAGUUCACGUUAAGUGGAGAAGGAUGUGGAAUUGCACAGACAACCAGGA